UGGCAAUUAACACCAGGAGAUUAACAAUUGGCUCCAGGACAAUUGACUCUGGAGGCAAUUAGCCUCUUACAGGCACCUCACUAGCUGCCGAUUUGGUGGAGGUGAGAGGUGCAGGGGCUAUUAAUGAAAUGCAUCAGGAAGAAAUAACUGAGCUGUCAGUUAGUCUUGGGCCUCAUCCAUAAUUCUGCUCAACAACAAAUGCUGUAAUUCCACAUCCCAUGUGACUCACAGGAGGCUAAAGUGAAGUCACCUUAGAUGGACAGUUUUAUUUUUCCCUAAACUAGGAAUUCAUUAGAUUCUCCCAUUAUGGUAACAUCCAUUUAAAAUUGUCCCAAUUUUAUACAAAUUAAGUGGUAGUGAAGUGAAAUUACAAGGACAUGGCUGUGCCAGCUGGAGUCAUACCACUCCUGUCUGACUUCUAAAACACUGAUUAGACACAUCUCUCUUGCCAGUCUCAUGUUGUGUAUAAAAACAGAUAUCUCUGCAGAUGAGUGCUGUUUGCAAUGCUGUGGUCAGUUUGUAACCAAAUCCAAAAAUACAUGAGCAGUUCCAGAAGCAGAAAUACACGAGCUGUUUCAGAGGCAGAUGGUCUACUUGAGCCAUUUAAACAGCAAAAAAAAGUUUAAAACCUGUCAGCUACAAAGAGAAGGAGGUUAAGUCAUGCCCCUGUAUGCACAUUGGGCUGGUUUUCUGACAAGAUCACAAGCAAGGGAUGCACCUGAGGCUGGUCCCUGACUGGGACAGAGAAAAGAAGAGAAACCACAGUGCCAGUGCCCUCAGAUAAAACUGGAUUGCCUGCACAACAGAGGGAACACAACUGCUCUCCACAGCUUGAUUUCUCUUCCACGGUAUUGCCUGUGAACAUUGGGGAGCACAAUAGAGGUGGAGUUGCACACCAGGUAUAUGAUGGGUGGAGGAGAGGGACAGCGUGGCUGAUGCUAAGGUGCUCAUGUACAUAAAUGAGACAGGCAGUACUAAUGUUGAACAUAAUUAAUCCCCUCUAGGAAGGUGUUUUGGAGGCCUCCUCCAUUUAUGACACAGGUAUUUCACCUAGGAAUAUAUCCACAACUGGAUUGUGGAUUCACACUCCUCCAUGCAGCCUGGAAUGUCAGAAUUUCAAGGCAAGACAGAGCUGGAAGCAAGCCUGACAGCGUAGGGAGCAGCAAACAUUCCCCUGAAAACUACAUUCAGCAGUGUCUGAAGGGAGGAUCUAUACACACCUGAGAGAAACUGAAGGCAAAGUCCACAGAAAACCUGUAUUCCUACAGAAACCAAUACAAGGACCCAUUAUCUGACAGAAGGUGUGUUAUACCACACUAAUUCCAACUGCUCCAAGCUGGGUCCCUCUGCAGAACACCAUCUAGAAGGAGAGGGUUGGAUAUGUCCUUUUCUAGCACGCAGAGCUCCAAGGCAAGAGUGCUACAAAGGAAUGACAGCUAUGCUUCAAUGUGUGCUGGUAUUCCAGGCACAUCUGUGACAGACUGCUUCAGAACAGGAGCAGAAAAGCCGUGACUGAGAAACAAACAAAAAAAUCAUUUGGAUAGUUUCAAAGCUUUUCAAUCCAACCAAAAGCAAAAAACUUCUGCAGAAUGUCCAGUCUGUGUGAACAGAGCAGGAUGCCUCUCAUAAUAGGAAAAUGUAGCUGUGCAUUUUCAUACCUAGGAACUGGUAUAAUGCCUGACUGCCUCACAAUAAAAGUCAUAUCAGAAGCUUAAUGGUAUGGGGCAGGGAGAAGCCUUUGAAUUUGACCCUAGUCAGAAGAGGAUUAAGAGUUAAAGGCCACACAUGUGGCUGAAAAGCACAAAAUUUCUGCAUGCAGCUUUGGUAAAACAAAUAACCAGAAGAGCUUUGAAGAGCUAUUGCUGCCAGUAGAGAUCAACUUCUGUCUUCUGACAAGCAUAUGAACAUUUUGAAACUCUGGUCCAGGUGCCUCAUCAGCUCUGGGACAAUUCUCUCUCUCACCAUCCAUGUGCAAAUUACUCUCACACUAUUCCACUCGCCAGCCAGGUCACAGGGUGCUGCUGCUUCAAGCUCAUUUAUGGUUUGAUUUCACACACCCUUCAACUGUUUUUUUCAGUCUUAAGAAAACUCAGCCUCUGCACAGAGGCCAGAUUUUUUUUUUUUCCAAAAGAGCUUAAGCUACCAGAGUCUCUUCUUAUUCUCAAUGGGAGAUGAACCCCUUAGAAAAUGUCAAAUCUUCAUUUAGAGUGUGCAGGUCUGUUGGAAAUCCAACCCUUGGUGUUUUGGAGAGCAUUACACACCCACGUGCUAUGUCCAUGGCAAUUGUUUUGCAGCUGAAAGGAAGUCCAACACUAUACAACUGCAUUCUUGAUGAGUGGUCUGAAACUGGAGGAAGCAUGCUCCCUUUUAUCAGCUGAAAAGAAUGCAAGCUAAAUACCUCUGAAGAGGGCAAUUAACCUUCAUAUUUAGAUAAGAAAUCUUAGGUAUUUCAUAGCUGUUAGCACAGUAAUGCCUGCACAAUCUCUUGAUUACACUUAUCCCCAUGUCACCCUUUUGGGAUGGUGUUAUCACCUCCAUCUAGCCGAUAAGGAGCUGAGACAGGGAGAUGGAUUAUGUUAAAUCACCCAAGGUGCACUGAAAAUCUUCACUGAAACUGUCAGCUAAUGCAGAAUUCUGCUCAGGGCUUGGUAAUGAAUGUGGACUCUUUAACACAGAGUAACUACAAAAUGUGAAAUGUAUGAAUUUAUAUGCCAGAAUUAAAAAAACCCAAUCACAGUGACCUCAUUUGAUUAUUUUAAGGAAUAUACUGAUAGCUAGUGCCAAGAAUGACUCCUGCAUUCUAGACAGGAUCCUGAUAUCAGACAGCAAGCUGUAGGCAGAUGGAGAACUGCAGUAUGGGUCUCUGAGAAACCUGCAACCACCUUGAGUUCAAUACCACACAGCUACUGUAGGCACCAUAUCAGUAGGAAAAUCCAUUGUAAAAGAAUCUUGUUUGGUGGAAUUGCUAAGGGGAGGGGCUUUUUGUUUUUUGGGGGUUUUUUUCUGCCAUAAUGCCUCUUGGGUGUUAGUGCCUAUGGGUGCUAGUCCUAUGAACCCUUGGCCCCUUUCCACCCCAACAAACACAGCUGCUCACAAGUAUUUCUCAAAGAGAUUUUCUUCCAUGUAAAGUACUUGCAGAACUGUGUUCUUCAAGACUAGAAACCAUCAUUUCUGAAAUGGGUAGUAGUAAUGGAUUUUUUUCCCUUUGUGUCAAUGAAGCAAGCUAAUAUUACAAGGACCUUAACAAACAUUACUGUCUUCUCCAGAAAAUCUUUCAGACCUAACUUAUUUACGUGUUCAGCCCCUUUUGAAACUUUCUAUACCUACCUUCACCUUUUCCUUACCUUGUCCCCUGGAGCCAGAACCUACCAUGCUCUAAGGGCAUGGCUGUUGUCAUUGCCAUAGAGCUUCCUGGUCUACCAGAGGUGCAUUCCUUCAAGAGUCCUUGCCACUGAGUCCUGAACCUGGAAAUGCUGUUGCACAGCUGAAAUCAUGCAAAAGGACUUGCCCAUUCCACUCUCACUACUCUGUUUCAAAGGCCAUUUCCUCCCUCUUUCCUCACGGGCUGGGAACAUACCACACACAAUUGUGACAGUGUAAUCCUCCAGGGCUGCACUUUGCUCACAGAAGAUGUCUACAAACUGUUUUCUCACCUGGGUCACCUCUUUAAAGGGAUUUUCUCCUGGGUUUGUAACAUUUCUGUAGAACAUUUACUACAUUGCUAUUCACCAGCAUGAAAUCCAUGCUCCGUACGAGUUCAACAGCUACAGCACAGCAACUUCCUAGACAUCCUGCCAAGCCCAAGGUGCAAUUCUUAAAUACAAUUUUCUCCACUUUAAGGCUGGCUGUCACAGUUUCCAUUUGAGACUAAUUGAGUAGCUCAAUUUUAGAAUCUGUUACUCCCAGCAAUUUUAGCAAGACUGGUCUAAUAAAGGCAAUUUUUCAAAGGUGAACUGGUGCAGUUCUUUGUUUCUCCAUCUCAUUUACAGGCAAACUAUUUAUGUUCAGUACUAGGAGGACCUCCACUUCUUGAACAGCACUAUUCUUCAUACAGA